rnacentral:rRNA from 1 species
UACGUAGGGUGCAAGCGUUAAUCGGAAUUACUGGGCGUAAAGCGUGCGCAGGCGGUUUUGUAAGCCAGAUGUGAAAUCCCCGAGCUUAACUUGGGAACUGCAUUUGGGACUGCAAAGCUGGAGUACGGCAGAGGGAGGUGGAAUUCCACGUGUAGCAGUGAAAUGCGUAGAGAUGUGGAGGAACACCGAUGGCGAAGGCAGCCUCCUGGGCUAGUACUGACGCUCAUGCACGAAAGCGUGGGGAGCAAACAGG